rnacentral:rRNA from 1 species
GACGAACGCUGGCGGCGUGCUUAACACAUGCAAGUCGAACGGAAAGGCCCUGCUUUUGUGGGGUGCUCGAGUGGCGAACGGGUGAGUAACACGUGAGUAACCUGCCCUUGACUUUGGGAUAACUUCAGGAAACUGGGGCUAAUACCGGAUAGGAGCUCCUGCUGCAUGGUGGGGGUUGGAAAGUUUCGGCGGUUGGGGAUGGACUCGCGGCUUAUCAGCUUGUUGGUGGGGUAGUGGCUUACCAAGGCUUUGACGGGUAGCCGGCCUGAGAGGGUGACCGGCCACAUUGGGACUGAGAUACGGCCCAGACUCCUACGGGAGGCAGCGGUGGGGAAUAUUGCACAAUGGGCGGAAGCCUGAUGCAGCAACGCCGCGUGCGGGAUGACGGCCUUCGGGUUGUAAACCGCUUUCGCCUGUGACGAAGCGUGAGUAACGGUAAUGGGUAAAGAAGCACCGGCUAACUACGUG